rnacentral:rRNA from 5 species
UCCGGCCGGGAACUCAAAGGAGACUGCCAGUGAUAAACUGGAGGAAGGUGGGGAUGACGUCAAGUCAUCAUGGCCCUUACGACCAGGGCUACACACGUGCUACAAUGGCGCAUACAAAGAGAAGCGACCUCGCGAGAGCAAGCGGACCUCAUAAAGUGCGUCGUAGUCCGGAUUGGAGUCUGCAACUCGACUCCAUGAAGUCGGAAUCGCUAGUAAUCGUGGAUCAGAAUGCCACGGUGAAUACGUUCCCGGGCCUUGUACACACCGCCCGUCACACCAUGGGAGUGGGUUGCAAAAGAAGUAGGUAGCUUAACCUUCGGGAGGGCGCUUACCACUUUGUGAUUCAUGACUGGGGUGAAGUCGUAACAAGGUAACCGUAGGGGAACCUGCGGUUGGAUCACCUCCUUACCUUAAAGAAGC